AUCCAGCGUCUGCUGCUUAGUAGCUGUGUGACCAUGGGUAAGUUGUUUAACCUUGCUGGACCUCAGUUUCCCCAUAGGCAAAAUGAAGAUAAUAGUAAUACCUACUUUUAGGGUUGUUAUGAGGAUUAAAU
rnacentral:snoRNA from 1 species